rnacentral:rRNA from 1 species
UGGGGAAUUUUGGACAAUGGGCGAAAGCCUGAUCCAGCAAUGCCGCGUGUGUGAAGAAGGCCUUCGGGUUGUAAAGCACUUUUGUCCGGAAAGAAAUCCUUGGCUCUAAUACAGUCGGGGGAUGACGGUACCGGAAGAAUAAGCACCGGCUAACUACGCGCCAGCAGCCGCGGUAAUACGUAGGGUGCAAGCGUUAAUCGGAAUUACUGGGCGUAAAGCGUGCGCAGGCGGUUUGCUAAGACCGAUGUGAAAUCCCCGGGCUCAACCUGGGAACUGCAUUGGUGACUGGCAGGCUAGAGUAUGGCAGAGGGGGGUAGAAUUCCACGUGUAGCAGUGAAAUGCGUAGAGAUGUGGAGGAAUACCGAUGGCGAAGGCAGCCCCCUGGGCAAUACUGACGCUCAUGCACGAAAGCGUGGGGAGCAAACAGGAUUAGAUACCCUGGUAGUCCACGCCCUAAACGAUGUCAACUAGUUGUUGGGGAUUCAUUUCCUUAGUAACGUAGCUAACGCGUGAAGUUGACCGCCUGGGGAGUACGGUCGCAAGAUUAAAACUUAAAUGAAUUGACGGGGUCAUA